CCCCGUGUGCUUCUUGUUAUCCUUGGGACACACCCUUCCCUCUCCACUGCCUGCUACUGCCUCUGCUAGGUGCCCCCAGCACCAGCCAGUGCCCAUUCAUCUGUGAGAUCCACAUGGAUAUACCGCCCAUAAAGGGAGCAUUCUUCCUUUCCCUUCAUUGCUCCUAAAAUAGCCAUGGGUUUCUCUCCAUCACUGGACAGACCCCCUUGGAUCAGAUCUACCCUCUUUGUGUCCCCAGGUUUGCCCCCAAUAAAUGUUUAUAAACAAGUCAGUGAGUGUAUGUACUUGAGGGAGACCAAGACAAGCCCUUGAUCCCCUCUCAGUUUGCUUUGCAGAACACCCCUUCUCUUGGAUCAUCACAGAACAGGGCUGGGGGUAUAGCUUGGUGGUAGAACAGUGCUCAGCAUGGGCCAAGUCCUGAGUUAAAUCCCCACUGCCCUUACCCCCACAAAAUACAGAACAUGCUCAUGGAGCCCUGCUGUCCCUAAACACUAGCCACUGGUCCUUAUUGUCUAUAUCUUCCCCCUGGAAGACCCUGGAUGAUCUGAAGCAAAGAAUGACAAAGAAUUUGCCUGGGAACUUAACCAAGGUUCUAAGUCUUUCAGAAUCCUUAUAAUUGGGGACUGUCUUUGUAGAUCCUUGGUGGCGGCAACCCCUACCUUAGCUCUUUACCAGGAAAUCAGGUUAGAGUCCUUUCUCCCUCUGUAGAUGUAUCAGAAUUACCUACCCAGCAAAGAUUUUCUAGCUCCUUCUGAUGAGUUAAUGGAGACAGAGAGCGAGGAUUUCUUGCCUAAGACACCUAGCAACUUGGUGUAAAGACUGUGUCCUGGGACUUGACCAGGACCAGUAAGGGACCUAGGAAGACCAGUCCUUUUGGACAUGGUGUGGAGCAAGCCUGGAACUGGAGGUUAGGAUUUUGGGAAAUUUCAGUUCUUUAACUUCAAACUCUCUACCUGGCUGCUUGGAGUACAAGCUGAAGGAGAGAAUCCACUAGGGGGCAGAAGAGACCAACAGUAGGAAAGCCUGAACUGGAAAGUGCUGGAGCUCUUCAGCAGGGAGAGUGGGGAUUAGGAUGCAGGAGCAGAACUCUGAUUCCACAUUCCUGCUGUGUUAAAUUUCUGUCCGUUUAGCAAAUACUAGAGAAAAUAAACUUAUACAGAGAGGUUUAUUUUGGCUCACAACUUUGGAGACUUUAGUCCAUGAUUGGUUGGCUUUGUUGCUUUGGGCCUGUGGUGGUGGAUUUGAUGAAACUGAAACCUCCUGCUUAUUCAGACUUGGAGGUGACUGUUCCCAGCAAAUAGAACUCUUUGCUGAGUCCCCUUCGGGGACUGUCAUGAAAGAAGUAUGGGAAAUUCCAAGACCUGGGUCAGUGGCUGACCCCUCUGAAUCUGAUUUUAAGUAAUUAGACCCCUUCAAGGGUUUUCUAUCAUUUGAUUUUAAAAAAUGAGUUUCUUAGGGCUGGGGUUGUGGCUCAAGCAGUAGCACAUUCGCCUGGCAUUCAUGCGGCCUGGGUUCGAUCCUCAGCACCACAUACAAACAAAGAUGUUGUGUCCGCCGAGAAUUAAAAAAUAAAUAUUAAGAAGUUCUCUCUCUCUCUCUCUCUCCUCUCAAAAAAAAAAUGAGUUUCUUAAGGUCAGAAGAGGCCUCCC
rnacentral:lncRNA from 1 species